CCCUCCACCACCCCCAGAGGACGUUUACCAUCUGCCUCCAGCUCCUGCCUCUCAGACUCCGCUGCUUGCUUGGCCGGCCGCCCUUUCACCACCUUUUGGGCCUGAAGCAGCAGCCAGCCUGCACUGACUCUUAGCAAGUCUCUUCUUCCCUGCAUCAUUGUGGGUGGAUGCCUGAGACAGGAUCAGAACGGCAGAUGAUGGCUUGUUCUUGCAUGCAGUGAAAUGUAUGCAAUCCCACCAAGUUAAAGGCAGACUGGAGGCAAAAGUGAAACAAUUCAACUUGUAUGAAGCUUCAUUCUGUGGGUCAACAAACUGGCUGGAUGAUAAGAUAAACAGUAAACAUGGAUGGUGACUGAAAUGAUUAAUUUCAGUAAUUUAAAAUGUUCAAUUGCUUUGGUUUUCAUAAUCUGAUAUAGGUAAUUGACGCGUACUUGAGUUGUGUUGUCAAUACAGCAAAAGAAGGUAAGCUGCUAGUAAUGCUACUUCAUUCCUGUUAUUUGUAUUUCUAAGUCAGUAUUUAGAACAAGUAUGAGAGAACAUUUGGUUUAUUACUUACAAAGAAAUGUCUGCAAUUAGUACUCUGUUUUUAUUAACUUUUUCUUAGCAAUCAAUAUUCCUUCUGUAUUAAUACUUUAAAACUAUAUUGUUUAACUUAUAUUUUAAAAUUAUUGAUUAAUUUACCACAUCCUUAUGUGUUAACAGGUACAUGCUGUCUUUUCAAUCACUACUAGAAAAAUUCUGUCAGGCAGAGCAACGAAAGUGAAUUUUGAGAAGAUAAGUGGUCCUGACAUUUGAUUUGAAUGCACUGGAGGGUAGCAGGCCUCUGGUUUUCACCAGUACAAGUGGUGCUCAUUAGCUACAAUAAAGGAAAGGGACAGUGUAAGUGAUAGUAAGUAAGUGAUAUUCAACAUGUGGUGUCAUCCCUCCACCAGGACCAAUAUCAAGUGCCUUCUCUGUAUUGCUACAGAGCAGGAGUGGGCAAAGGAUCCUUGACAGCUUCUGUUCCUACACUGGAGCAGAGGAUUCCUCUCCACCCAUUCAGUUAAUUCCACAUGUGCUCAACAAAAUCAUACCACAUGGCCAGGGUGAUAGUACCAGCAGAGGCCAGGCAAUUCUGGUUCACAGAAUUACUGGAACUGACCAGCCAUCCUCUUCUACCUUCAUGUCAAAAUCUGCUACAGAAGAAUGGCAUGAUCCUAUCUUCAGACUGUCUGUCUCUGAAUCUGGAUGUCUGGGACAUGGGUCUUACAAAUGGCUUCUCCUGCUCUGCUGAGGUGCAGGAGGUCCUCAUUCACUGAGGAUAGGACUCCAUUCACAUGGUGUACACACAAGUGAAAACAAUUUAGUGUAUGAGAAGCCAGCAACAAUCUUCCUCCAGUCUACUCGAAUACCAUCUGUCACAGAGUGGACUGUCCCUUUAAGGGUAUGUGGGUUCAGUCUCAGCUGUGCCUAGUUAUUCACUUCCCAGGUAAAGGGGUUGGGCCAUUGGUUGGGUCUGCUGACCAGGUAGCAUGGCAUAGGUGGCACAUGAGUUUUUUGUUUGAAGAGGCUACUCCCAAGAGUGCCAGAAGCUCCUUGAAGUGUGGGGCCACCAGCACCCAG